AACGAACGCUGGCGGCAUGCCUAACACAUGCAAGUCGAACGCUCCGCAAGGGGAGUGGCAGACGGGUGAGUAACACGUGGGAAUCUUCCUAUUGGUAUGGAAUAGCUCAGGGAAACUUGGGGGUAAUACCGUAUAAGCCCGAGAGGGGGAAAGAUUUAUCGCCAAUAGAUGAGCCCGCGUCUGAUUAGCUAGUUGGUGAGGUAAUGGCUCACCAAGGCGACGAUCAGUAGCUGGUCUGAGAGGAUGAUCAGCCACACUGGGACUGAGACACGGCCCAGACUCCUACGGGAGGCAGCAGUGGGGAAUAUUGGACAAUGGGCGCAAGCCUGAUCAGCAAUGCCGCGUGAGUGAUGAAGG
rnacentral:rRNA from 1 species